UCAAGAGAGCCACCGAACGUCGCUCGAAUACCCUCUCCGGAUUCCAGUUUUUGAUGACUUUGCGAGUCACACCUGUGGAUCAUA
rnacentral:rRNA from 1 species